rnacentral:rRNA from 1 species
GACGUAGGGCGCGAGCGUUGUCCGGAUUUAUUGGGCGUAAAGAGCUCGUAGGCGGCUUGUCGCGUCGACUGUGAAAUCCCGCGGCUCAACCGCGGGUCUGCAGUGGGUACGGGCAGACUAGAGUGCGGUAGGGGGAGAUCGGAAUUCCUGGUGUAGCGGUGAAAUGCGCAGAUAUCAGGAGGAACACCGGUGGCGAAGGCGGAUCUCUGGGCCGUAACUGACGCUGAGGAGCGAAAAGCAUGGGGGAGCGAACAGG